GCUCCCUUCGUCUAGUGGACUAGGACAUCGCCCUCUCAUGGCGGAAACAGGGGUUCAAUUCCCCUAGGGAGUACCA
rnacentral:tRNA from 1 species